UAGACAAACUCCGUCGUUACAUCUACCAUUUUCCAUAGGCAAAAAUGAGUUUUAAAGUCACCAUUCCUUGCGUCACCAAAUUUAUUGCUGUGGCACAACUUAGAAAAAUUACGGCAAAAUAAUUAAAAACAAAUUAAAUUGAUGUUUUACCGGCUCCAAAAUUCGUGUUGCCAUUUUGUUUUAGCUUUAUAUGUCAACUGGUUUUAUUUAGAAAUGUUGUAUUAUUCUUUUGUUGUCAGAGCUAGAAUAA
rnacentral:lncRNA from 1 species